rnacentral:rRNA from 1 species
UACGUAGGGUGCAAGCGUUGUCCGGAAUUAUUGGGCGUAAAGGGCUCGUAGGCGGUCUGUCACGUCGGGAGUGAAAACUCAGGGCUUAACCCUGAGCCUGCUUCCGAUACGGGCAGACUAGAGGUAUGCAGGGGAGAACGGAAUUCCUGGUGUAGCGGUGAAAUGCGCAGAUAUCAGGAGGAACACCGGUGGCGAAGGCGGUUCUCUGGGCAGUAACUGACGCUGAGGCGCGAAAGCUAGGGGAGCAAACAGG